AGUCGUAACAAGGUUUCCGUAGGUGAACCUGCGGAAGGAUCAUUACCGAGUGAAGGGCCCUCUGGGUCCGACCUCCCACCCUUGUCUAUCGUACCUUGUUGCUUCGGCGGGCCCGCCAUUCGUGGCCGCCGGGGGGCUUCUGCCCCCGGGCCCGUGCCCGCCGGAGACAAUCAUACGAACACUGUCUGAAGGUUGCAGUCUGAGUUGAUUUAUUCAAUCGUUAAAACUUUCAACAACGGAUCUCUUGGUUCCGGCAUCGAUGAAGAACGCAGCGAAAUGCGAUAACUAAUGUGAAUUGCAGAAUUCAGUGAAUCAUCGAGUCUUUGAACGCACAUUGCGCCCCUUGGUAUUCCGGGGGGCAUGCCUGUCCGAGCGUCAUUGCUGCCCUCAAGCACGGCUUGUGUGUUGGGCCCUCGUCCCCUUCCCGGGGGACGGGCCCGAAAGGCAGCGGCGGCACCGCGUCCGGUCCUCGAGCGUAUGGGGCUUUGUCACCCGCUCUGUAGGCCCGGCCGGCGCUUGCCGACCCAACCUAUUUUUUAACCAGGUUGACCUCGGAUCAGGUAGGGAUACCCGCUGAACCUAAGCAUAUCAAU
rnacentral:misc_RNA from 1 species